CCUACGGGUGGCAGCAGUGGGGAAUAUUGCGCAAUGGACGAAAGCCUGACGCAGCGACGCCGCGUGCGGGAUGAAGGUCUUAUGAGCGUAAACCUCUGUCAGCAGGGAAGAACGGUCACUGUGCUAAUCAGCAGUGAAUUGACGGUACCUGCAAAGGAAGCACAGGCGAACUCCGUGCCAGCAGCCACGGUAAUACGGAGGGUUCGAGCGUUAAUCGGAAUUACUGGGCGGAAAGGGUUCGUAGGCGGUAGGUCAAGUCAAGGGUGAAAUCCCCGCGCUUAACGUGGGAAAUGCCUUUGAAACUGGCAAACUGGAGUGUGUGUGCGGAUAGUGGAAUUCCAGGUGUAGGAGUGAAAUCCGUAGAUAU
rnacentral:rRNA from 1 species